UACGUAGGGGCUAGCGUUGUCCGGAAUCAUUGGCGUAAGCGCGUGUAGGCGGUCCGGUAAGUCCGCUGUGAAAGUCGGGGGCUCAACCCUCGAAUGCCGGUGGAUACUGUCGGGCUAGAGUGCGGAAGGGGCGAGUGGAAUUCCUGGUGUAGCGGUGAAAUGCGUAGAGAUCGGGAGGAACAUCAGUGGCGAAGGCGGCUUCCUGGACCAAUACUGACGAUCAGGUGCGAAAGCGUGGGGAGCAAACAGGG
rnacentral:rRNA from 1 species